CUUCUCUUCCAGUGCAGGUUCUCGGACCGCAUUUGGAAUGCGAUCGGAGUUUGGAUGGAUGCCCCUGAGCUGGAUGUUGCGGCCUGGAACGGGAUCCCCACGGUCAAAGAGUGGUGGACGGCGGUGAUUCUUAGGCGUGGCCACAGGAGGAAGGCGAUUUCAUCACUCAUCAUGCUUGUUGCUUGGGAAAUGUGAAAAUAGAGAAACGCGAGGGUGUUUCAGCAUGUAUGUAGGUUGCCAAACGUGUUGGUCGAGGCUAUUAAAGCCGAGGUGAGGCUCAGGACUAUCGCAGGGGCGACCCAUUUGGGUUUUUUGAUGCCGCGAGAGCAGGCUUGUGUUUUCUUUCCAUUUGUGUGA
rnacentral:rRNA from 1 species